AUGCACUUGGUCUGUCAGGCUGACGCUGAGAUGAGCUUUGAGGUACCGAGCCUGGAGGGAGUGGAGGCACUGGACCCAGCGCUGGCCAACGACGCCCAGAAGCUGUGCAGCGUGAGGGGCAUGGACGUGGAAGGUGGUGUGGGCCCCUUCGGCCUGUGGGUUCUCGCCUCCUCCAAGCUGGAGGAGAGAAUAGCGAUCUUCUUCCGGGUGUUCAAGGCCGCGCACAACAUCAACAGCACGAAGCUGGUGGUCCUGAUGUGCUCCGAUCCCACCAUGUCAUCUCUGAGCUAG
rnacentral:rRNA from 1 species